CUCAGAAACUUAAAGGAAUUGACGGGGCCCGCACAAGCGGUGGAGUAUGUGGUUAAUUCGAUGCAACGCGAAGAACCUUACCUGGUCUUGACAUCCCGGAGACCCUUAGGAAACUAGGGGGUGCUUCCAUCUGGAAGAAUCUGGAGACAGGUGCUGCAUGGCUGUCGUCAGCUCGUGUCGUGAGAUGUUGGGUUAAGUCCCGCAACGAGCGCAACCCUUGCCUUUAGUUGCCAGCAGUUCGGCUGGGCACUCUAAAGGGACUGCCGGUGUUAAACCGGAGGAAGGUGGGGAUGACGUCAAGUCCUCAUGGCCUUUAUGACCAGGGCUACACACGUACUACAAUGGCCGAUACAAAGGGCAGCGACACUGCGAGGUGAAGCCAAUCCCGUAAAAUCGGUCUCAGUCCGGAUUGGAGUCUGCAACUCGACUCCAUGAAGUUGGAAUCGCUAGUAAUCGUGGAUCAGCAUGCCACGGUGAAUACGUUCCCGGGCCUU
rnacentral:rRNA from 1 species